ensembl:snRNA U6 U6 spliceosomal RNA
GUGCUUGCUCAUAUAUUAAAAUUGGAACAAUACAUAAAACAUUAGCAUGGCUCCUGCUCAAGGUUAACAUGCAAAUUCAUGAAACGAUCUGCAUUUUU